UGGGGAAUAUUGGACAAUGGGGGCAACCCUGAUCCAGCCAUGCCGCGUGCGUGAAGAAGGCCUUAGGGUUGUAAAGCGCUUUCAGCGGGGACGAUGAUGACGGUACCCGCAGAAGAAGCCCCGGCUAACUCCGUGCCGGCAGCCGCGGUAAUACGGAGGGUGCGAGCGUUAAUCGGAAUUACUGGGCGUAAAGCGCGCGUAGGUGGUUCUGUAAGUCGGAUGUGAAAGCCCAGGGCUUAACCUUGGAACUGCAUUCGAUACUGCAGGACUAGAGUAUGGUAGAGGGAAGUGGAAUUUCCGGUGUAGCGGUGAAAUGCGUAGAGAUCGGAAGGAACACCAGUGGCGAAGGCGACUUCCUGGGCAAAUACUGACACUGAGGUGCGAAAGCGUGGGGAGCAAACAGGAUUAGAUACCCCCGUAGUCC
rnacentral:rRNA from 1 species